CAGUCGCCGCGGGAAUACGGAGGGUGCAAGCGUUAAUCGGAAUUACUGGGCUUAAAGCGCGUGUAGGCGGGACGGCACGUCGACUGCUGAAGUCCCUCGGCUUAACCGAGGAACGGGCAUCGAUACGACCGUCCUGGAGGGACGUAGGGGGACCUGGAACUUCCGGUGGAGCGGUGAAAUGCGUUGAGAUCGGAAGGAACGCCCGUGGCGAAAGCGAGGUCCUGGACGUCUACUGACGCUGAGACGCGAAAGCUAGGGGAGCGAACGGGAUUAGAUACCCCAGUAGUCCCUGUCUCUUAUA
rnacentral:rRNA from 1 species